CCUACGUGAGGCAGCAGUAGGGAAUAUUGCUCAAUGGGGGAAACUCUGAAGCAGCAACGCCGCGUGGAGGAUGAAGGUUUUCGGAUUGUAAACUCCUUUUGUUAGAGAAGAUAAUGACGGUAUCUAACGAAUAAGCACCGGCUAACUCCGUGCCAGCAGCCGCGGUAAUACGGAGGGGUCAAGCGUUACUCGGAAUCACUGGGCGUAAUGGGCGCGUAGGCGGGAUAGCAAGUCAGAUGUGAAAUCCUAUGGCUUAACCAUUGAACUGCAUUUGAUACUGUUAUUCUAGAGUAUGGGAGAGGAAGGUGGAAUUCUUGGUGUAGGGGUAAAAUCCGUAGAGAUCAAGAGGAAUACUCAUUGCGAAGGCGACCUGCUAGAACAUAACUGACGCUGAUGCGCGAAAGCGUGGGGAGCAAACAGGAUUAGAUACCCCAGUAGUC
rnacentral:rRNA from 1 species